GUCGCAUCUGGCUGCCCAUAAAAAAAUAAAGGACACGUAGAAGGCAAAAAAAAGAAAGUUUAUUUUAAAAAAUCCAACUCACCGACUUUCGGAAAUCGCGUGAAAAUUCCAGAAAGCGCGUCAAAUAUAGAAACCUUAACCGCCUCAUCCACCUUAUAAAUACCCCCUCAAAACCCUCCUCUUCUUCAUUAUAUCUUUUAUGCUCUGUAUUUUGCUUCGUCUUCUGUCUUCGUCUCUCUCCGUUUUAUUUUCUGCUUCGCUGUUUUUGCGUUUUAUCGUCUUGCGUAAUUUGUGAUCGGGAUUCUGUUUAUUUGAAUUGAUGAUUGUAGGGUUUUGAUCGUUUUCUAUCUUGAUUGUUGCUGCUUUUCUUUGGAUUGAUCGGUAUUCUGUUUGCGGGAUUUGUAAUCGUUUGGUUGAGGAUUCAAUUUCGUUGAAGAACUGGGGUUUGAUUUGUGAUUUGAUUUAAUUUUAAUUAUCAAUUUCUACGAUUAUCUACGAAUUCGGUCGUUUCUUUUCUGUGAUUGUGAUCCUGCAGUUGCUUCUUGGAGGUUGAUUUAUUGGUGGUGAUCAAGUAGGUUUUUUUUGGUUGAUUUUAUUGCCGAAUUUCGUCAAAGGUUUGCGCUUAUUUUGAUGCUGAUUGGUUACCAAAUUUUUCGAAUUAGGGUUUUUGGUUGGUUUUUGUAGAGCAUGCAAUAAAUCGGUCUUCAAUUAGUUGAUGGUUGAUUUCGUUUCCAAAGAUCGUCAUAAAGGUUUGCGCUAAUUGAUUGGUCUGUUGAAGUGGUUGAUUACCAAUUUUUUCGAAUUAGGUUUUUUUUGGGUUUGAUUUUUGUUGAGCAUUCAGUUGCGUACUCGCUUUUGAUUUGUGGGUGAUCAUGUUAAGGUUUGGGUUAUCAAUUGAGGUUUGAUCUGUCGCGCUGAUUGAUUAUCAAUUUUUUCGAUUUUGGGGUUAUUGGUUGAAUUAUUGUUGAUUUCGUUUCCCAAUAUCAUCUCAAAGGUCUGCAGGAUGGGUGUUUAGUUUCCUCUAAAGCUGUUUUGAUUUGCCGUUUUGACUGGUUCCGAAUUAUUGGUGUUUCUAGUGGCAUAAUAUUUUGCAGAUUUUCGAACAAUCUAGCUGUCGCUGUGAAAUACUACCAAUUAUCACCAAAAAUCAUCCACAAGUCUAGAUAAUUUGGGUAAAAGUUUAAAUUUUUACAUAACAAAUUUGAUUUUGAAGUAGUUGGACUUGAUAUUGGUUAUUGAUUAAUUCGUGAAGAUUAUUAUUAUUGCAUAGUGACUAAUUUGGUUAAUUAGCUGAUACCAAGACUUACAAGGAAAAAAAUUACAUUGCGAGGAGGACUCAGUGGUUGGGUAUUUGAUUGAGGUUUAUUAGCUGAUACUAAUUUAUUGUUGGAAUUUUUCUGUCUUGCCUUGCUUGUUUGCUGUUAAAUUAUUAGUGAUCAAGUCGGUUGCCUUUAUUUGCUAAAAGGUUUGCUUAUUGUUGGAGAUUUCUAUUUGUUUGGUGAUAUGGUUGCUUCUUGACAGUUGAAUUACUGGUGAUCAGGUUGUUGUACUUCUAUGAAAAGGUUUGUCCUGAUUUGGUGUCAUGAUUUGCUUAAAGGUUUUGACUUCUUUAUUUUGCUUGUUGUUGCUUUAGCUCUUGCAGAUGUUUUGUGUAGGUUUAUGCUUAGUGUUUGAAUCGUCAAGUAGGUUAUUUGUUGAUUUCAUGGCCAAAUUUCUUCAAAGGUUUGUGCUUAUUGAUGAUUGAUCAGGACUUCAGGAGUGCUGAUGGGUAACCAAUUUUUAUGAAUUAGGGUUCUUUAGUUUGAUUUUUGUAGAUCAUGCAGAAGUUAAAUAAUCGUUAUUCAAGUACGUUGUCUGUCGAUAUCGUUGAUCAUUAAAGAGGUUUGCGCUAUGAUAUGAUAUAUCAAUAGAUUGGAUUGAUUACCAAUUUUUUUCGAAUUCGGUUUUUAGUUUGGUUUGAUUCUUUUUGAGCAUGCUGUUGCUUAUUGGCUGUUGAAUAAUCGGUGAUCACCUUGGAUGAAUGUAAAGGUUUUGCGCUAUUUGAUACUUGAAGUUGCUUGUUGGCUGUUUUAUAAUUGGUGAUCAAGUUGGCUGAAUAAAAAGGUUUGGGUUAAUUGAGGUUUGAUUAUCACGCUGAUUGAAUAUAAAAUUCUUUGAAUUUAGGGUGUUUGGUUUGAUUUUUGAUUAUCAGAAAGGCUUGCAGGUAUUGGUGUUUGAUCUGUAGAGCUGUUUUGAUUUGACGUUUUGUCUGUUGCUGCACUGUUUUUUGUUACAUAAAAGUGUUGCAGGAGUUAUGGGCAGCUACUUUUGCAGUUUUUGGACAAUCAUGCUGCUGUGAUAAUUACCAGUUAUCACCAAAAAUUAUCCACAAACCUAUCUUGACCAAAAAAAAUUGGUGGUGCUUUUUAGUGACUAAAAUGUCUAACUAACCUGACACGAGACUUGCAAAGAAAAAAUUGCCUUGCGGUGAGGACAGAAUGGAUGGGUAAUUUAUUGAAGUUUGAGGUUUGAUUUCUUUAUAAUCAGUUAAUUUAUUGGUGGAGUUUCCUUUGCCUUGACUUGCUUCUUUGCUGUUAAAUUAUUGGUGAUCAAGUAGGUGGUUGUUAUUUGCUCUAAGGUUUGCUUAUUACUGGAUAUUUCUUUUUAGUUGGUUAUGUGGUUAUUUGUUGACAGUUGAAUUGUUGAUGAUCAAGUUGGUGUUGUAAUAUUCUUUAAGGUUUGUGUUGAUUUGGUUUCACGAUUUGCUUAAAGGUUUUGGCUUCUUUAUUCUGCUUGUAGUGGCUUUAGCUCUUGCAGAUGUUAAAUGUGUGUUUACUUAAUUGCUUUCGGCCACCCAAAGUCUUGUGAAUUUGUUUACUCAUGUCAUGAUGAAGUGAUGGGCCUGAUUGUGUACAGUAGUAGGGUGUCAUUGUAUACUUGUAGAUUAAUUACUCGAACAUUUGAUGAUGGUGUGGUUGAGGUUCUUUGGUUCCUUGAGUUUGGGUGUGGGACUCUGAAGUUUUCUGUUUUAUGAUGGUUUAAUUGGAAUUUUGUUUGCAGUAUGCUGGCUUUUAUGUGUUCUAUUCUUGUUCAAUCAUGGACCUAAUUUGCUGCUUCUUAUGGAUUGGUCAGUAUAAUAUCUGUGGCAGUUGUGAUCUUUCAAAUUUAAUUCCGCCGAAGAAUUUGGGGUUUGAUUUAUUUUUAUGUUUGAAAUUUAAUUUCUAUGAAUUCCUCCAAGUUAUGUUUUUUUCUUAUUUAUGAUCAUUAGCAUCCAGUGGCUUCUUGGUGUUAGAAUCCUCAGUGAUCAAGUAUGUUUUUUUGUCGAUUUUGUUGCCAAAUUUUGUCAAAGGUUUGCCCUUAUUGAUGCUUGAUCAACUUGGGUAACCGUUUUUUUUGGAAUUAGGGUUUUUUGGUUUGAUUUCUUGUUGAGCUUGCAGUUGCUUAUUAGCGGUUGAUUAAUCGGGUGAUCAAGUUGGCUGAAUAAAAACGUUUUAUGUUAAUUGAGGUUUGAUCUAUUGCGUUGAUUGAUUAAAUAUUUCUUCGAAUUUGGGGUUUUUGGUUUAACUUUUGAAGUUUGGCAUGACGAAGAUGUUCAGAAGGGUUUGCUGGAUUGGUGUUCGAUCUCUAGAGUGGUUUCGAUUUUUAGUUUUGACCAUUGCUGUGUUGUCUCUUGUCGUAAAUUUUUUUGCAGUUUUUCGGAUAAUCAAGCUGUUGCUGUAAAAGACGAUUACCAAAAAUUACCCUCAAACCUUUAUUAACCAAAAAAUUUGGGUAAUAGUUUAAUUAUUUAUAUAACAAAUUUGAUUAUGAAGUAGUUGGACUAUGUAAUUUAUUAUUGAUUAGUGAUAAAUUGUUAGGAAUAUUAUUAUUUCUUAGUGCUUUUCAGUGACUAAUUUGGUUGACUACCUGAUAACUGAACCAUGCAAAGAAGUUUUUCAUUGCGCCGAUGAGGAUUGAAUGGUUGGUAUUUGAUUGGAGUCUGAGGUUUGUAAUCUUAUUUGUUAACUGUUUAUUGUUGGAUUUUUUUUUUUUUUUUUUUGUCUCGACUUGUUUCUUUGUGGUUAAAAAUAUUAGUGAUCAAGUUCGUUGUUGCGAUAUGCUCAAUUGUUUGCUUAUUGUUGGGGAUUUUGCUCUGUUUGGUCAUGUAGUUGCUCUUUGGCGGUUGAAUUAAUGGUGAUCAAGUUUGUGUUGUGAUUUGGUUAGAGGUUUGCGCUAUAUUAUUUUGAUACACAAUACUGGGAGAUCGAUUUCUUGUUGAACAUCUGAUGAUGGUGUAUGGUUGAUGUUAAAUUUUAUAAGCAAAUGGUUCUGCUUUUAGUUUUUUUUUUUUUUUUUUUUGGUCUCUUGUAGUCCUGUUUGAUCAUAGACCUAAUUUGCUACAUUUGUGUGGCUGAAUACUGUAAAUGACUCUUGUAAAACCUUUCCUUGCGACUUUAUACCCGUUAUUGUCUUCUUUAGGUAUUUAUUUAUCAAUCAUGAAGUAAUGUCUUGAGUUGUUAUUUUGUUGUGAUAGAUAUCGCCUCAGUGUUGCACGCUUGCUGGAGAUUACAAUGAUUCGUUUCUACUUUCUACUGUGUUAUUUACAGCUAGUAUGGCAUUAGGAAAAUUCAAUUGUUAAGUAUUUCUUUUUUGUGAGUGAAUUAGUUUCAGCUUCCUGGUAUGUGUGCUUAUCCUUAUAAUGUUAAUUUAUUUAUUUACUUUAAAAUUUGUUGUUAUUGUGAUUUUUUUUCAAUUAGCUUGUGGUGUGAAGCAUUUGGCAAUUCUCAUGGUCAGUGAUGGUUGGUAAGAGAUGAUUUAAGGUGUAGACUGUAGAACCAGUUUCUUAGCCUGCUAAUGUCUUCGUGACUCCUAGUGUGCUUCAUGAAUUACUCAAAUGUUUUUAAUGUUUAUGAAGGUAUGUGAUAGUUUGUGGCAGACUAAAGAAUUUUAUCACUUAUAAUUUUGGUAUGAUUCAUUUAAUUAUUUGCUGGAGUAUUUUUUAUUUUUUUUGUAUGUUUUUAAUUGCAUAUUUCUAUGUAGUUUUAGAGUUAACUUGGAAGUGGAGAACUUUGUUUUUCUUGCAGACACUGCACUAUUUUAAAAAAUUGAUGGUUUGAUACACUUUACGAAAGCAGUCAGGUUUUGCUUGUGCUUUGAUGGUUUUAAGAUGUGUGGUAUUUUGUAUCUCAGAAGUGCCUGUGUUUGCUUGUGAUUACACAGAUUGAUUUCUACUCUUUCCAAGUGAUGUGGUAUUGGAUUUAUUUCGUGAAUGCUAACAUUGUGUUGCGACUUUUUUUUUUUUUGUCAAUUUCUAAUUUCUGCAUUCUGAUGUGGUGAUAUACGCUUAUUGUCUUUCUUUGAUUUUAACUUGCGUGGUAUUAGCUUGUGUAGUGAAGCAUUAGGUGUAAGUCGAAGUGGUAUAGUGCACUGCAGAUUUAAGUGUUUUUCAGGUAGACUCCUCCUUUUGAAGGUGGUAGUGUUAUUCGUGUACCACGAUGUCUUUUGGCUUGCUCUAAAUUUGUUAUUUUCCUUAAGAGGGGGGGGGGGGGUAAGUGGUUUGGGGACCUCAUGACAUAUUUGGUGUUGUAUUUAUGUUCUGUAACUUAAAUUUCAUUUUUGUUAUGCGUUUUGUUUAUAAUUGGUUUGUUGUGAAGCAUUUGGCAGUACUCAUAGUCGGUGAUCAUGAUUGAUUAUAGGUAUCCAACUGUCGAGGUAGUUACUUUUCUUGAUGCCUUUUCUUUAGUCCUUGACUCCUUGUAUUCUACAUAGAUUUGCUUGGCUUACAUAUUAUUAGUGUUUUGUAUAUGUCCAACUGAACAAUUUUAUGUUAAUAAAUUUUCCUGUUUGCCCUUUUUCUGUAUGUGUGUGCGUGUGUUAAUAAUAAUAAAUGCAGAGUUUUGUGGUUUGUUUCUAGUGCAGAUACCACACUUUUUGGUAGAAUUUGAUGGAGUUAUACUUAAAAGAAUUUUAUGAUUGGUAAUAUAUCAAUAUGGCUGUAUGCCUGUAUUAUUUUAGUUUUAAAUUUUAUUUUCGCAUAGUUUUAAGUGACUGCUGGAGUUGAGUGAAUGGAAGUGGAGAAUUUUGUUGUUUGUUUGUUCUUGCAGAUUUACAGUCAUAAGUUUUGGAUAAUCUGAUUCCUUCUUCACAUCUGUGGUGACCUGUAUUCUUCCUAUUAUCAAUUGUCUUACUUUUGGCAAUCACACCUAAAUGACAGAAAAGAAUUGACAAAGUUCUAUUA